rnacentral:miRNA from 1 species
GAACAAAAAAAAAAGUACAAC